rnacentral:rRNA from 1 species
CCUACGGGGUGCAGCAGUGAGGAAUAUUGGUCAAUGGGCGCGAGCCUGAACCAGCCAAGUCGCGUGAGGGAAGACGGUCCUAUGGAUUGUAAACCUCUUUUGUCGGGGAGCAAAAGACGCCACGUGUGGCGUUCCGAGAGUACCCGAAGAAAAAGCAUCGGAUCACUCCGUGCCAGCAGCCGCGGUAAUACGGAGGAUGCGAGCGUUAUCCGGAUUUAUUGGGUUUAAAGGGUGCGCAGGCGGAAGAUCAAGUCAGCGGUAAAAUUGAGAGGCUCAACCUCGUCGAGCCGUUGAAACUGGUUGUCUUGAGUGAGCGAGAAGUAUGCGGAAUGCGUGGUGUAGCGGUGAAAUGCAUAGAUAUCUCGCAGAACUCCGAUUGCGAAGGCAGCAUACCGGCGCUCAACUGACGCUCAUGCACGAAAGUGUGGGUAUCGAACAGGAUUAGAUACCCUAGUAGUC